AGAUCAGAAAAUCAUAAGACAGCAUUAAAAAGUACUAUACAGGAGGAGAUGGAACAAGAUGGCCAAAUAGAAGCCUCCAGCAAUCAUCUCCCCGAAAGGAAUUGAACAACUAUCAAAACAAAAUUGAACAACUAUCUAAACAAAAAAGUACCUUCAUAAAAAACAAAAAUCAGACACAGUGUUCUGCCUCUCCUGAGUAAGCAGCAACAA
rnacentral:lncRNA from 10 species